AACGAACGUUGGCGGCGUGGAUUAGGCAUGCAAGUCGAACGCGAACCGCUGGGCAACUGGCGGGGAGAGUGGCGAAAGGGGCAGUAAGGCGUGGGUAACGUACCCCCCGGACCGGGAUAGCCACGGGAAACUGUGGGUAAUACCGGGCGACGUAGCGGAGUCGCAUGGCUCUGCUACCAAAGGUCCGCCGCCGGGGGAGCGGCUCACGUGCUAUUAGCUUGUUGGCGGGGUAACGGCCCACCAAGGCGAAGAUGGCUUGCGGGUGGGAGAGCAUGACCCGGGCAACUGGCACUGAGACACUGGCCAGACACCUACGGGUGGCUGCAGUCGAGGAUCUUCGGCAAUGGGCGCAAGCCUGACCGAGCGACGCCGCGUGCGGGAUGAAGGCCUUCGGGUUGUAAACCGCUGUCGAGGGGGAGGAAGCCGCAAGGUUGACCUAUCCCUGGAGGAAGCACGGGCUAAGUUCGUGCCAGCCGCCGCGGUAAAAC
rnacentral:rRNA from 1 species